rnacentral:rRNA from 1 species
AAUGAACGCUGGCGGCAGGCCUAACACAUGCAAGUCGAACGGGCACUUCGGUGCUAGUGGCGGACGGGUGAGUAACGCGUGGGAACGUGCCCUUUGGUUCGGAAUAGCCUCGGGAAACUGGGAGUAAUACCGGAUAAGCCCUACGGGGGAAAGAUUUAUCGCCAAAGGAUCGGCCCGCGUUGGAUUAGGUAGUUGGUGGGGUAAUGGCCUACCAAGCCGACGAUCCAUAGCUGGUUUGAGAGGAUGAUCAGCCACAUUGGGACUGAGACACGGCCCAAACUCCCACGGGAGGCAGCAGUGGGGAAUAUUGGACAAUGGGCGCAAGCCUGAUCCAGCCAUGCCGCGUGAGUGAUGAAGGUCUUAGGAUUGUAAAGCUCUUUCACCGAUGAAGAUAAUGACGGUAGUCGGAGAAGAAGCCCCGGCUAACUUCGUGCCAGCAGCCGCCGUAAGAC